ACGCUGGCGGCGUGCCUAAUACAUGCAAGUAGAACGCUGAAGAGAGGAGCUUGCUCUUCUUGGAUGAGUUGCGAACGGGUGAGUAACGCGUAGGUAACCUGCCUUGUAGCGGGGGAUAACUAUUGGAAACGAUAGCUAAUACCGCAUAACAAUAGGUGACACAUGUCAUUUAUUUGAAAGGGGCAAUUGCUCCACUACAAGAUGGACCUGCGUUGUAUUAGCUAGUAGGUGAGGUAACGGCUCACCUAGGCGACGAUACAUAGCCGACCUGAGAGGGUGAUCGGCCACACUGGGACUGAGACACGGCCCAGACUCCUACGGGAGGCAGCAGUAGGGAAUCUUCGGCAAUGGGGGCAACCCUGACCGAGCAACGCCGCGUGAGUGAAGAAGGUUUUCGGAUCGUAAAGCUCUGUUGUAAGUCAAGAACGAGUGUGAGAGUGGAAAGUUCACACUGUGACGGUAGCUUACCAGGAAGGGACGGCUAACUACGUGCCAGCAGCCGCGGUAAUACGUAGGUCCCGAGCGUUGUCCGGAUUUAUUGGGCGUAAAGCGAGCGCAGGCGGUUUGAUAAGUCUGAAGUUAAAGGCUGUGGCUCAACCAUAGUUCGCUUUGGAAACUGUCAAACUUGAGUGCAGAAGGGGAGAGUGGAAUUCCAUGUGUAGCGGUGAAAUGCGUAGAUAUAUGGAGGAACACCGGUGGCGAAAGCGGCUCUCUGGUCUGUAACUGACGCUGAGGCUCGAAAGCGUGGGGAGCGAACAGGAUUAGAUACCCUGGUAGUCCACGCCGUAAACGAUGAGUGCUAGGUGUUGGAUCCUUUCCGGGAUUCAGUGCCGCAGCUAACGCAUUAAGCACUCCGCCUGGGGAGUACGACCGCAAGGUUGAAACUCAAAGGAAUUGACGGGGGCCCGCA
rnacentral:rRNA from 1 species